AGUUCGAGACCAGCCUGGCCAACAUGGCGAAACCUGGUUUCUACUAAAGAUACAAAAAUUAGUCAGGGUGGCACGGCGCAGGGCGGUGUAGGGUCGCCAUGGCGGAGCUGCAGCAGCUGCGGGUGCAGGAGGUGGUGGACUCCAUGCUGAAGAGUCUGGAGAGAGAGAAUAUCUGGAAGAUGCAGGGUCUCAUGUUCCGAUGCAGCACCAGCAGUUGUGAGGACGGCCAGACCUCCAUGCAGCAGGUGCACCAGUGCAUCAAAGCACUGCCAUUUGCCAUGCUUGAGCCAAAGCAAAGCCAGGCUCAAGCCCAGGGUUUGGUCACCAGUGAGUUGGAGAAGUUCUAGGACCACCUGGCCUAGUGCAUCAUGCAUUGCAAUGACAAAGUCAAAGAUUCAAUAGAUGCUGGGAGUAAGAAGCUUCAGGUGAAGCAGCAGCUGGACGGUUGUGUGACCAAGUGUGUGGAUGACCACACGCACUACAUCCCAACUAUGACCAAGAAGAUGAAGGAGGCUCUCUUAUCCACUGGGAAAUAACAAUCUUUGCCAGUGGCCAUUGGGGCUGAGGGCAGGAAUAUAUUUUUUAUAAGGAAUUGGGAAUUUUAGUCUUUUAAGCGAAGUUUAUGAAGAAACGAAGGAUGGCCACAAGUGUAAGACAUAUGUCACUUGCCUCUAGGCACUGGUUCUUUUAUGUUUCAGUCCUAAAAAAUGAAAUGGAAAAAAGUGGUACUAAAUUGGGUCAGAGAUAUUACAGUUGAGUUUUAGAGUUUAUAUGUCCUGUGGCCAGUGCUUGUCCUGCCAGUAAGGAUCUCCCCUGUAACAAGCCAGAGCCCUCCAAGGUACCAGACUCUUCUUACUACACAGGUACCAACAGGCUGGCAGGUUAGAGUUGGUGGAGUUUAAGGAGAGAUAUUUUCUCUUUGUUGCCAAUAUCCUGUUUACCAGAAGUGUCACCACACCAUUUUCUGUAAGUUGUAAAACAAAAUUGAUGAGGUCACUCACUUAGAAGGGCAAAAAAGUUUUCUGGGUCUUUGUUUUCUUGGUUUUGUGUAAUUUAUACAAGGCAAUACAAGUUGAUUUUAAGAUGUGGAAUUGGGAGGGAGACUAGUUUGGAUAAGAACUUGGAAAGGUUCCUUGUGGAUCCCCAUUUCUGGUCAAGAUGUGGAUGUACAUUUCUUAAAAUUAUUAUAUGCCACAUCUUUCAGCCUGGAGACCAUGCAAAAACAUGAGAGGUGACGACACACUAAUUAUGGGAAGCAUAAUUACUGGCUGAUGGGCCCUGAGGCUGUGUGUAGCAAAAUGACAGGAAAAUCUUGCAGUAACACUUUCCCAGUGAAGAGAACGGGAUUUUGAUUGUGAUAUAUACUAGUACCUAGGAAUGAACAGUAAAAGAGGAGCAGUUGGCUACUUGAUUACAACAGAGUUAUGAAGUACUGGAUUUGGAAAAACCUGGUUUUUAUAGAACGGAUGGAACGAAAGCCUAAACCUAGCAUUGCCUACUCAGCUCCCUGAAUUAACAGAGCACUAUUGACACAAAUCCCGGCAACAGGAAAUUCAAGGGAGAAAACGUAAGCAACUUGGGCUAGGAUGAGCCGACUCCCUUAGAGCAAAGGAGAGGCAGACCCCAUUACCAAAUACCAUUUUUGCCUGGGGCUUUCGCAACUUGCAGUGUUCCUGCCCUGGCAUGGCACCUUAUUCUUUUGAUAGCAACCUCAUUGUAUUUUCACCAACUUAUUACUUGAAAUGAUAAUACAGCCUAUCAUUUGCUGUUUCCAGGCUGUGAUAUAUUUUCCUAGUGGUUUGGUUUUAAAAAUAAAUAAGGUUUAAUUUUCUCCCCU